ACCGCACAAUAUCAGUUUUAAAAAAUGUCAAACAUAGGUAUUUUUUAAAGUCUUUCACAAAUAAGAGACUUGAUAGUAUCAUCUUAUGAUUAAAGUCAAUUUCUUUGAUUUGGCGACUGAACCAUUUAACAAGAAACUUUGUAGC